rnacentral:rRNA from 1 species
CAGCAGCAGCCACGGUAAGACGAACCGUGCAAACGUUACUCGGAAUCACUGGGCUUAAAGCGCACGUAGGCGGCGACAUAAGUUAGAGGUGAAAUCCCAUCGGCUCAACCGUGGAACUGCCUCUAAUACUGUGUUGCUUGAGGGAGAACGGGGCAUUCGGAACUUCCGGCGGAGCGGUGAAAUGUGUUGAUAUCGGAAGGAACGCCGGUGGCGAAGGCGGAAUGCUGGGUCUCUUCUGACGCUGAGGUGCGAAAGCUAGGGUAGCGAACGGGAUUAGAUACCCGAGUAGUCCCUGUCUCUUAUA